GCCGCCAUAGCUCAGUGGCAGAGCGCGUCAUUGGUAAUGACGAGGCCGUGGGUCCGAUUCCCACUGGUGGCACCA
rnacentral:tRNA from 1 species